AUUCUUGCGCUUGGGGCAAAGUCGUAACGAAUGAUCUCCAGAGACGUGCGACUAUUGCUGGUUGAAAACUACUCCAUGAACCCGGCAGGGAGCCUAAGGGCACCUGUUAAUGUUUAGACGUAAAUUUCUUCG
rfam:Emiliania huxleyi CCMP1516 EMIHTscaffold_404_Cont7447, whole genome shotgun sequence.